rnacentral:rRNA from 1 species
CACGUAGGGGGCAAGCGUUGUCCGGAUUUAUUGGGCGUAAAGAGCUCGUAGGCGGCUUAGUAAGUCGGGUGUGAAACCUCCAGGCUCAACCUGGAGACGCCACCCGAUACUGCUGUGGCUAGAGUCCGGUAGGGGAGACUGGAAUUCCUGGUGUAGCGGUGGAAUGCGCAGAUAUCAGGAGGAACACCGGUGGCGAAGGCGGGUCUCUGGGCAGUAACUGACGCUGAGGAGCGAAAGCGUGGGGAGCGAACAGG